GAUGAAGAACGCAGCGAAAUGCGAUAAGUAGUGUGAAUUGCAGAAUUCAGUGAAUCAUCGAAUCUUUGAACGCACAUUGCGCCCUUUGGUAUUCCUUAGGGCAUGCCUGUUCGAGCGUCAUUUAAACCUUCAAGCUCAGCUUGGUGUUGGGUGACUGUCCGCUUCACCGCGGACUCGCCUCAAAAUUAUUGGCGGCCGGUACAUUGGCUUCGAGCGCAGCAGAAACGCGAACUCGGGCCCGUCGUAUUGGCUCCCAGAAGCUAUCUUCACAAUUUUGACCUCGGAUCAGGUAGGGAUACCCGCUGAACUUAAGCAUAUCAAUAAGCGGAGGAA
rnacentral:misc_RNA from 1 species